UCUACUAAUGAUCCAUAUCACCCUACAGCCCAAGACCGGUUACUCACUGAAGCUAAGCAAAGCUAAGUCUGGCCAGUAUCUGGAUGGGAUAACACAUGGGAAAACUAGGUUGCUGGUGGAA
rnacentral:rRNA from 1 species